GCUUCUCUGAUGUUAGCGGCGGACGGGUGAGUAACACGUGGAUAACCUACCUAUAAGACUGGGAUAACUUCGGGAAACCGGAGCUAAUACCGGAUAAUAUUUUGAACCGCAUGGUUCAAAAGUGAAAGACGGUCUUGCUGUCACUUAUAGAUGGAUCCGCGCUGCAUUAGCUAGUUGGUAAGGUAACGGCUUACCAAGGCAACGAUGCAUAGCCGACCUGAGAGGGUGAUCGGCCACACUGGAACUGAGACACGGUCCAGACUCCUACGGGAGGCAGCAGUAGGGAAUCUUCCGCAAUGGGCGAAAGCCUGACGGAGCAACGCCGCGUGAGUGAUGAAGGUCUUCGGAUCGUAAAACUCUGUUAUUAGGGAAGAACAUAUGUGUAAGUAACUGUGCACAUCUUGACGGUACCUAAUCAGAAAGCCAYGGCUAACUACGUGCCAGCAGCCGCGGUAAUACGUAGGUGGCAAGCGUUAUCCGGAAUUAUUGGGCGUAAAGCGCGCGUAGGCGGUUUUUUAAGUCUGAUGUGAAAGCCCACGGCUCAACCGUGGAGGGUCAUUGGAAACUGGAAAACUUGAGUGCAGAAGAGGAAAGUGGAAUUCCAUGUGUAGCGGUGAAAUGCGCAGAGAUAUGGAGGAACACCAGUGGCGAAGGCGACUUUCUGGUCUGUAACUGACGCUGAUGUGCGAAAGCGUGGGGAUCAAACAGGAUUAGAUACCCUGGUAGUCCACGCCGUAAACGAUGAGUGCUAAGUGUUAGGGGGUUUCCGCCCCUUAGUGCUGCAGCUAACGCAUUAAGCACUCCGCCUGGGGAGUACGACCGCAAGGUUGAAACUCAAAGGAAUUGACGGGGACCCGCACAGCGGUGGAGCAUGUGUUUAAUUCGAAGCAACGCGAAGACCUUACAAUCUGAMWUCCUUGACACUCUAGAGAWWGAGCUCCCUUCG
rnacentral:rRNA from 1 species